GUGUUGAAGGCCCUGCAAAGCAGCAUCGCGGUGGCGGAGCGUCGUUUGCGACGCCCAACACACAAAACAAGCGGUGAGUGCUUUGGGGUGGGGUGACUGCGUACCUUUUGUAUAAUGGGUCAGCGACUUAUAUUCUGUAGCAAGGUUAACCGUAUAGGGGAGCCGAAGGGAAACCGAGUCUUAACUGGGCGUUAAGUUGCAGGGUAUAGACCCGAAACCCGGUGAUCUAGCCAUGGGCAGGUUGAAGGUUGGGUAACACUAACUGGAGGACCGAACCGACUAAUGUUGAAAAAUUAGCGGAUGACUUGUGGCUGGGGGUGAAAGGCCAAUCAAACCGGGAGAUAGCUGGUUCUCCCCGAAAGCUAUUUAGGUAGCGCCUCGUGAACUCAUCUUCGGGGGUAGAGCACUGUUUCGGCUAGGGGGUCAUCCCGACUUACCAACCCGAUGCAAACUGCGAAUACCGAAGAAUGUUAUCACGGGAGACACACGGCGGGUGCUAACGUCCGUCGUGAAGAGGGAAACAACCCAGACCGCCAGCUAAGGUCCCAAAGUCACAGUUAAGUGGGAAACGAUGUGGGAAGGCUCAGACAGCCAGGAUGUUGGCUUAGAAGCAGCCAUCAUUUAAAGAAAGCGUAAUAGCUCACUGGUCGAGUCGGCCUGCGCGGAAGAUGUAACGGGGCUAAACUGUGCACCGAAGCUGCGGCAGCGACGCUUAUGCGUUGUUGGGUAGGGGAGCGUUCUGUAAGCCUGCGAAGGUGUCCUGUGAGGGAUGCUGGAGGUAUCAGAAGUGCGAAUGCUGACAUAAGUAACGAUAAUGCGGGUGAAAAGCCCGCUCGCCGGAAGACCAAGGGUUCCUGUCCAACGUUAAUCGGGGCAGGGUGAGUCGACCCCUAAGGCGAGGCCGAAAGGCGUAGUCGAUGGGAAACGGGUUAAUAUUCCCGUACUUGGUGUUACUGCGAAGGGGGGACGGAGAAGGCUAUGUUGGCCGGGCGACGGUUGUCCCGGUUUAAGCGUGUAGGCUGGUUUUCCAGGCAAAUCCGGAAAAUCAAG
rnacentral:rRNA from 2 species